GUGGACAAAAUGAAAAUAACAGAAAUAAUUUAAACAAAAUUAUGCAUAGUUAUAAAAAAAUCUAUAUAAGGUUACGGAAUGCCUUAAAUAUUGAAAAUACCUUGCUGUUCUCAGUUUAAUUUCUGACAUUAGAGUUGAAACAGGUUUUUGGACUGGUAUUCUGUUUCUGGAUUGAGUGUAUUUACGGUCUGUGAGGCUGAGAUGUGCUUGGUAAUACUUCAUUUGGGGAUCGCUGCUCAAAAGCCUCUUGAUUCAUUCGAGACAAGUAUGAGUUUUAUAAAUAAAGCAUAUUGGUUCAAUAUAGAUAUAGAUAUUCAAUCUAUGUCAUUAUGCAGGAGAAUAUGGAAGCACUUUGAGGGCUUGCGUGUCUGAUUGUAAGUAAAAUAUGCCUCUGCUGUGAGCACAUCUCUUCCAGCCUCCAAAACACCUCAUUUAUUCAAAAUCAAUGUUUCUUAUUGUGCCAGGCGGCGGAAUGACCAUGCAGGCGAGAAGAAAGAAAAUGAAAAGAGAAAAUAGGAGGACAAAUGAUUAGAAGAAAGAAAAAAAAAGUAAAAUAAGAGAGUGGUGCAUAAUAUGAAAGAGAAAAGGCUCGGGUGGAUUCAUUGCCAACGUUCAGGUCCUGAGAGACGGAGAAUGAAUUACAGAAAUAAGCCCUGUAAACCAUGCCAGGCCUAUGCCUUUCAUUCAGAUGACUCCUCCCCCCAUUCACCCUCCUAUCCCUGGAGAACGAGUGAUUAGAGAGGAGGACGAGGGAUCUGGAUCACUGCUGUCAGGAAGGGAUGCCAGCCGUGCUAGAGGAACACGACCCUGAGGUGGAAUGAUCACACGGGCAAUAUGUCACAGCAAAUGCCGGCGCAGGGUGCCAGGGCCACAUCCACAGAGCAGGAAAAGCUGCAGCAGAGGUGCCAGCUGUUGCACUCUCAUCAGCGGGUAUCUUGGCCUGGCUGGGCACAGUCUCCACUGCACUCCAUGUUAUCACAGGCCAUAUCUGAAGGCAGGAGGACAUUGGCGGUCUCCAAGGCUCCUAUCACCCGCCACAUUAUCUCCAGUAGAGUGAGGGUAGAUGGGCUGCCACAUAAACCAUCCCGUCUCUCUAUCUGUCUGUCUGUUUGUCUCAUUCUCUUUCUCUCUUUCUCGCUCCAUCUUUAGCUCAUUAGUAUUAAGGAAAUGAAAGAUCCCUAAAGCUGGCAGCAGCUGUAGUGAAAAAUGAGGCCCACUCAGCCACCAAUAUCUCAUUUAGCACUUUAAUGUGCUCAUACAGUAAAGUGGAGACAAUGUCAAGCUUUAGAUUCUGACAGAACUUGACUAUAUGUUCUUCAUUAGCUUCUUGACAGUGAUGGAUGGGUUUUUUACACUCGUGUAUGUUUUUUUAGAACUAAAAUAAAAAUAAAUGAAAUAAAAACCA
ensembl:lncRNA